CAAUUUUGUCGUCGGAUAAGUAUCCUAGCGGGCUUUUUAGGCUGAUGACAUAUUAACUAGAGGAGUGCUGUUAGUGGCCCGUAUCGCUGGCAUUAACAUCCCUGAA
rfam:Lacimicrobium alkaliphilum strain YelD216, complete genome.